GGGGAUUCAGUUUAAGUGAUCAUCACCCAUAUCAAUCCCCUCCCCGCUGUACAGACUCGUAUAUAGAUGCUAUGAAGGAUCUUCAUCAGCUUCCUUGGCUUGAGAGGUUCGUCUCCGUGAUAAGUGACAACUACUAUGAAGACUAUAUUCAGUGAAGCUAAAAUAGGACUGCUAAGAAAUUAGAAAAAAGUUGCAUGUCUUCAGAACAAUGGUUAAAAAGGAGGUAAAAGAGCUUCUUACUCUAUUUACUCCAUUUGCAUUUACAAGGGAGUGCAGAAUUGGCACUUUUUCCUUUGUAGUUUGUAACUGUAUGCUGGAUGAUGUGACCUUAAAGGUCCUUGCGUUAGAACAAAAGGGAGGAGGCACUAUAUGAUGAUUGCUUUUUCCUGGAAAGAAAAUGAAAAAUAGAUAAAUUUUUAAUUAACUAUAGGUACGAAUUUU
rnacentral:misc_RNA from 1 species